rnacentral:lncRNA from 1 species
AUUCUAGUUUAGGACCAGGAAUUUUAGGGAAAUCAUCUCAGUGAAAGGGCUUUGCUCAGGGGAUUCAGAAGAGAGAUGCCCACUUUAAUCCUGCAGGGCAGGAUUCAAGCAAUCAUUUCUGGAAAUUCUGCCCUCUCCAAUCAAACCUUCCCUUGUAACAGGAAAACAAUUAAGGGGAAAAAAAAAAGAAAAACAAUUAAGCACAAACAUCCCCCACAACGAUCUCAUCUGAUGAUGCAUGAAACAUUUUCAACUAGUAAUCUCUCUUCUUUUCAUCAUCUGAUCCUGGAGGCUGAAUUUUAGAGGUCAGUGAUUCUGCUGAUUCCUCCCUUCUCUUGUCUCUUUUCCUUUUCCUCUGUCCUUCCAAAUUCCUUACCUCUUCAGCCUGACCUUUAUAAGAGGAGGUAGAAAUCGAAAUUUUAAAGCAAUCUUUUUCAUGCUUGUUUGUCAUAACCUUCUAAAGAAUUUUAUUCUGUUAAUUCAUCCAUAAAUUCCCUACUGUGAACAUUAAAGUCACUGCACAAAAGAAACCCCACUCACAUCACCUACUGUCUGAUCUGUUUUCUUCAGCCAGUAAGCUCAAAUGUGAGGUUGGUUUUCCCAUUUAUCUGAAUAUUUUCAGAAUAUCCUCUUGAGAUGUGGAUAUUUCUAAUCAGCUGAAAUUUUAAACAAUUCCUUUGGCUGGGAUACAGUUGGUAUUUCUUACUGUUGGUCUGGAAUUCAGCCUCUGUGUUGAGCUGAGUCUCCUACAGGAUAGUCUUUGGCCUUACGACCAGGAGAGGUCUGUAGAUGUUGGGAUAUGAUGGGGUGGGGGCAGGAUCUGUGGGGCAUUUCCAAUUUUUGAAAAUCUCUGAUUCCACUGAAAAUCCUCAGCAUUUUAGGACUAAAAGAUGUGUCUAGCAAAUGUGGGGAUCUACCUAGUUGUCAUAUUAACAAGAAAAACAACUGUAUCUCAGCAUUUAUUUAAUAAUCUUAAUUCUUUUAUCUAGGUUUAGAUUAAAACAGUUUUCACAAUAAUUGAUUUUUAGCCUUUAU